CGCCAGACUCCUACGGGAGGCAGCAGUGGGGGAUAUUGCACAAUGGGGGGAACCCUGAUGCAGCGACGCCGCGUGGGUGAAGGAGCGUUUCGGCGCGUAAAGCCCUAUCGGCAGGGAAGAAGGAGGACGGUACCUGACUAAGAAGCCCCGGCUAACUACGUGCCAGCAGCCGCGGUAAUACGGAGGGUGCGAGCGUUAAUCGGAAUUACUGGGCGUAAAGCGCUCGUAGGCGGUAUUGCUAGUCAAAGGUGAAAUCCCCGCGCUCAACGUGGGAACUGCCUUUGAAACUGGCAAACUGGAGUGUGUGAGAGGAUAGUGGAAUUCCAGGUGUAGGAGUGAAAUCCGUAGAUAUCGGGAGGAACAUCAGUGGCGAAGGCGACGAUCUGGCACAUAACUGCCGCUGAGGAGCGAAGGCGUGGGUAGCAAACAGGAUUAGAUACCCCUGUA
rnacentral:rRNA from 1 species